UGAACGCAUGCGCGAGGAGGCUCGCGCGUUUAGUUCAGUUUAAAUAAGAAAACCGUUAUUUUUUACACUUAUUCACUGAGGAUUUCAAGUGACUUUUUGUGCACCCCUGAGUCCAGCUCACUCAGCCACCUUGUGUUAUUUGUCCUACACUGAUCUUGCACUGUUCUGGAAACUGCUGUUCGUGAUGCCACUCCUGCUGCCUGAGUGAAUCAAUAAACCAUUUUAACCAGAAUUACAGACCAGUGUCAGGAGGCAGGAGAUCAGCAGUCAAUUAUGGCAGGACAAAACAUUUUUAUAAUAAAUAAAAAUACUUGAAAUAAAAUAUUGAAAAAUGUG